ensembl:ncRNA ZK381.56 ncRNA
CAGAAGAAGAAGCAUGCGAGAUAGAGAGAGCAACAAGCAACAGAUGCUCCGAGCAUUUGUUUUGUGAGUGAGUAAACGUCUCCCCUAUCAUCUGAACUGUCGUCGGAAGAAUGAGAGAG